GCCAGCGUGGCUCAAAGGCAGAGCAACUGAUUUGUAAUCAGUGGGUUGCAGGUUCGAUUCCUGUCGCUGGCU
rnacentral:tRNA from 1 species